CACGUAGGGGGCGAGCGUUGUCCCGGAAUUAUUGGGCGUAAAGAGCUCGUAGGCGGUCUGUCGCGUCGGCUGUGAAAACCCGCGGCUCAACCGUGUGGUCUGCAGUCGAUACGGGCAGGCUAGAGUUCGGUAGGGGAGACUGGAAUUCCUGGUGUAGCGGUGAAAUGCGCAGAUAUCAGGAGGAACACCGGUGGCGAAGGCGGGUCUCUGGGCCGAUACUGACGCUGAGGAGCGAAAGCGUGGGGAGCGAACAGG
rnacentral:rRNA from 1 species